GACGAAGGGGGCUAGCGUUGUUCGGAAUUACUGGGCGCAAAGCGCACGCAGGCGGAUUUAUAAGUCAGGGGUGAAAUCCCGGGGCUCAACCUCGGAAUUGCCUUUGAUACUGUCUAUCUUGAGUCCGGGAGAGGUGGGUGGAAGUCCUAGUGUAGAGGUGAAAUUCGUAGAUAUUAGGAAGAACACCAGUGGCGAAGGCGGCUCACUGGCCCGGUUCUGACGCUCAUGUGCGAAAACGUCGGGAGCAAACAGG
rnacentral:rRNA from 1 species